AACGUUGCGUCUUGUACAAUUG
rnacentral:miRNA from 1 species